AAAAACCUAGGUGAGGAUACCACUUUCCCUCUCCCGUUACGAAGGCUAAGAAAGUCCACAAAAAGUAGGCAGCGCCUUGCGCGACACAGAGGCAGGGCGCCAGUGGCCGUUCCGAAGCUGCCAGUAGUAUGCAGGGCGCACGCGCGGCAGAAACCUCUGUCAGCGUCCCGUUAAACACACGCGCAAAGGGCCGCAAAGGCCACAGGUAGCCCUGGCCCCCAUCUCUAAGGCUGAUGGGGUCGGGGUGGGGUCACCUGCUAUUUCCGUCUAAGGGUGGGCCUUGCAGUCAGAGGGUCGGUCUCCGGCCUCAUUCCUCACCCCGCCAGGGUCUGCUCGUCUGGACAGAGAAAUGGCUGGAGCAGUGGCAGGGCGCGACGUACACCAGACCGGGGCUGUCCCUCUUGAGCCGCCGUAGUCAAGACCACGCCCUCUCCCGCUUCUGGCACAUGGUGCCAUCUGGCCAAUCACAGAACGUCAGGCUGCGUCUUCGGGAUUGGGGUGGACAUGGGCACUCUAGAGGAGCUGACUUCUGGAGGCAGAGAAGCCCAAGACAGGGAGCCCCCACCUGAUGAGGGCCACCUGUGUCACCCGAAGGCUGGAGGCAGAUGGACAAGAGCAGGUGAGAGAACAGCAGGAUCCCACUCCUCCUUGAACUCAGGGCCCCCAUUACUUCAUUGCCUCUUGAAGGCCCCACCUUGGCUCUGGAUGCCUUGCUGCCCUCAGAUGGCACAUGGUCAGGCUGUGAAUAAGGCCUUCAGCCCUGUAGCAGCUGAGCUGGGGUGACCGCAGCCUGGGUUGUAUGGUCUCUGCCACCUAGCAGGGAGCAGCAGGAAGAGACUGGUGGCUGCUCUGGGCAAACCCCAGUUUGGACAGCAAGCUGGUAGUGCUCAUCAGGGGGGUUCACAGGGGCAGCUGCCUGCCCCAUUGCUCCCCUGGCUGCCCUGGAGCCCACUGUAACCCCACCUUCCCUGUCCCAGCUCCAAGCAGCAUCUUCUGUACUGUCGUUGGCAGAUGAGACACCACAGUUUUUUGGCACCUUGCUCCAUUCCGCAAACCCACCAUCCUGACGAUGAAAUCCACAGAAGAUGCUGAUUUCCCCGUCCUUUGUUCUCCACCUCUGAUGAAAACUCCGGGAAGUUUUUACUCCUCCUCACUCUGGCCCUAGGUGCUGAUAGAGUUAACAGUAGCAGAGCCAGGUGAGGUGGUGCACACCUAUAAACCCAGCACUCUGGAGAUGAAAGCCAGGGAACACUGAGAGUUCAAGACCAGCCUGGGCUACACAGUGAGACCCUGUCUCAAAAAAAUAAAUGAUAAACAAAUAAAUAAUAAAUAUGCUGACUCUUCAGGCUGGGAUGUAGCUCAGUGGUAGAGGGCUUGGCUAAUAUGCACAAGUUCUGGGUUUGAUUCCCCAGUACUACAAAAAAGGAUUACUUGUAGCGCCCCUCUGUAGAUUGUUUUCCCCUUUUGUUUAUUUAUUUUUUUUUGGUGGUUCUUGGAAUGGAACUGAGGGUCCAGUGCAUGCUCUCACUGAGCUAUAUGCCAGCUGAGAGAGUCUUUAUUUAGCAUACACUUUCCUCGGCUCAGAGAAGGAAGGGUGUUACUGGCACUGCACCAGACUGCUCGGCUCCAAGGUCAAGACAUCACCCCCUUUGCUGGUUUGCUGGGACAAACAGAUUUGCUGGGAGGAGCCUUGAGCAUUGCCUUGCCUGCAGAUCCACUCAGCUUCCUGGGGCCACCACCUUCUGGUCAUCCCUGCUAUUUUCCACAUCUCCCACUGCCCGUGGGCUUUAGGAAACACACACAAAAGCUAGGCAGGCAGGCUUAGUAAGCUGUGGCAGCUGUGUGAAUUCUCAGCAUCUUGGGUAAGCAAAGAAAGAAAGAUCGGGGCCUUCAGAACCACAGUGGGCUGCCAAGGCAGCAGUAAGAUGGCACAGUGACCCGUACAGAGCUGACAGUGCAGAGAUGGUCUCCCUGGGACAGAAGAUAGUCACCACCACAGAUUUUUUUUUUUUUGUCUUUUUCAUUUUUUAUCGGUACCGGGGAUCGAACUCAUAACCGCCUGCUUGCAAGGCAGGUGCUUAUGCCGCUGAGCUAAACCCCCAGCCCCUAACCACCACAGAUUUGUCCCAGUGUCUCAGCACCGAGAGCUGCCAGUUUGGUUUCCCACCCCCUUUCUGGCCAUUCUCUCUUACUACUCCCGUAACACACAAUUUACCUUUUCUUUUUCAUCUUUUACAAAUGUUUUUAAAGUAUUAUUUAAUGGCACUACUUACAUUUAUAAUGUAUGACCAGGGCUGGAUGAGUAGUUCGGUGGCAGAGCACUUGCUAAGCAUGAGUGAGCCACUGGGUUCCAUUCUGAGCACUGCAAAAUGAACAAAAACCUCCCUUCAAAACCCCACCCCUAGGGAUAAGCAUAACAUUGUGUGUCCAGUCUCCAUAAUUCUUUCAUUUUAUCAGACUGAAACUCUGACUCCCUAUUCC
ensembl:lincRNA